rnacentral:rRNA from 1 species
ACGAACGCUGGCGGCGUGCUUAACACAUGCAAGUCGAACGGAAAGGCCCUGCUUUUGUGGGGUGCUCGAGUGGCGAACGGGUGAGUAACACGUGAGUAACCUGCCCUUGACUUUGGGAUAACUUCAGGAAACUGGGGCUAAUACCGGAUAGGAGCUCCUGCUGCAUGGUGGGGGUUGGAAAGUUUCGGCGGUUGGGGAUGGACCCGCGGCUUAUCAGCUUGUUGGUGGGGUAGUGGCUUACCAAGGCUUUGACGGGUAGCCGGCCUGAGAGGGUGACCGGCCACAUUGGGACUGAGAUACGGCCCAGACUCCUACGGGAGGCAGCAGUGGGGAAUAUUGCACAAUGGGCGGAAGCCUGAUGCAGCAACGCCGCGUGCGGGAUGACGGCCUUCGGGUUGUAAACCGCUUUCGCCUGUGACGAAGCGUGAGUGACGGUAAUGGGUAAAGAAGCACCAGCUAACUACGUG